ACAUCUCCGACACGAGCUGACGACAACCGUGCACCACCUGUUUUCUGGCUUCCGAAGGAAAGGAACCAUCUCUGAGUCUGCAAGGGAUGUCAAGAGCUGGUAAGGUUCUUCGCGUUGCGUCGAAUUAAACCACAUGCUCCACCGCUUGUGCGGGCCCCCGUCAAUUCCUUUGAGUUUUAACCUUGCGACCGUACUCCCCAGGCGGAAUACUUAUUGCGUUAACUGCGGCACGGAGGGGGUGGAUCCCCCCUACCCCUAAUACCCAUCGUUUAGGGCCAAGACUACCGGGAUAUCUAAGCGCUUGCGCUCCCCUGGGUUUAGCGCCUCAGCGUGUGUUUUCGUCCAAAGAGUCCCCUUCCCCAGGGGUGUUCUUCCUAAUAUCCACUCUUUUCCCCGACACUCUAAAAAUUCCUCUUUCCUCCUGGAUUCUCUAGAUCAACAUUGUCCUGCCCAUCCCGGGGUGAACCCCCGAAUUUUUAAUACCGAUUGACUGAUCCCCCUGCGCCCCUUUAACCCCCAAAAAUUCCGGACAACCUUGGCCACCUACUAAUAACCCCGGCUGCUGCACCGUAUUUGGCCUGGCUUCUUCUCUUCGGGAACCGUCUUUCCUUCUCACUGUACGCAAGAAGGCCUUCCGAACCGAUUAACACAUCUUUACGACUUGAUGGCUGUCGUCUCUCGCGCGUCGUUGCUCCGUCCACUGCUCGUCUCUUGCAAAAGACUCGCCCCUGCUCCCCCCC
rnacentral:rRNA from 1 species